AUAUUAUUAUAAUACCUUUAAACUCUUUGAAACAAAACAUAAGUGAAAAAAAAUAAAACUACGUUUUAUAUUAGAACUGAACAAACUAAUUGUAAAUAGUUAAAACAUUAGAUAUUAUAUAUAAUCGGUAAAAUCAAAAUAUGCUUUGAGGGAGCUGAACUCGAAGUGUCACGGUUUCAUACUUAAAAGUUCAAAGGCAAAUCUUGUGCAUCUUUCAUAUAAAUACUGAAUACUUUAACUAUUUUAUUUUAUAAAUGCAAAUAACAUACGUUUGACUAUGAGCAAAAGAAAAAAAUCGAAUUUUUCCGAUGCAAAACUACAGGGCCCAGUUUCAUCUUAAAUAUGAAAAAGACAUGAAACAACUCUCCACAAGACACCGGAAAUAAAAUCACUUUCUUGUCCCGAAAAACUAAUAACAAGUGAAAUUGACGAUAGUGGUGUUUCUUUUGGAAAAACACAAACAUUAUUGGAGGACAGUACUUCAAAUCAGACUUAAAUAGAUCAGAACUGUCAUAUAAAUUAAUUAGACGAAAAAAAGGCAACUGUACCAGAGGCAUCUGUAAUGUAUAGUUCAC
rnacentral:lncRNA from 1 species